rnacentral:lncRNA from 1 species
AUGGGCUCGGGUACAAGCCGAGGAAAAAGAGUCGCACCUGCUUGUGUCAGCGAGGUAAACGUGACCAAAACGGGGACCGAUGUCGCUUCGCCUCAAAAGGACAACCGUCCGUUCAAGCCUCUUAAAAUUCAGUCCGUUUUGCGCAAUGUGCGUAACCGUGCGCAACCUGACUGCCACAGCGAAGGGCAGGAUUCGGACUUUUCUGGGAAUGAGGAGGAUAUUGAUGGAGAACUGGACACAGUUAUGGCAGAUUACACAGAAAGAGAGAGCGCUUCCGUAAAGAAGACCCCUCCGAAGAAGACGUUCAUCAGAUCCAAAACAUACGGACUGUGUCAUUUCAGCCAGGAGGACGCUGAAGACGACUUCAGCUCUGCUCCGAGGCUCCGAGCGUCAGGAAGAGACCAAGAGCCACGUGUCGCACACAGUGUGUCAAGAGAUGUAAACAAGAAGGGCAACGCUGCCUUCGCACACGUUAAAAAGCACACAUCUGGCUGCCCCACCGAGCACAAUUCCUCCUCACAGGGCUGUUUGACAACAGAGGCUUUGUCGGAAGACGUCCCCACAUCAGAACAACAACCGACGUUUGAUAGCUGCCAUGGCUCUUCUCUCACCACGCCAGUCAUCCUGUACGAUGGAUCAGAAGAGGAGCUGAUGGAUACCAUUGAAAGAGAGUUUAGCUGA